rnacentral:SRP_RNA from 1 species
ACCAGAUGUGGUGGCAUGCACCUGUAGUCCCAACUACAUGGGAGGCUGAGGUGGGAGAAUUGCUUGAGCCCAGGAGUUCUGGGCUGCAUUGCUCUAUGCCAGUCAGGUGUCUGCAUUAAGUUCGAAAUCAAUAUGGUAACCUCCCAGAAGCAGGAGACCAUAAGGUUGCCUGAGGAGGGGUGAUCCAGACCAGGUCAAAAACAGACUAGGUCAAAAUUCCUGCAUUGAUCCAACAGUGGGAUCAUGCCUGUGAAUAGCCACUGCAUUCUAGCCUGGGCAACAAAGUGAGACCUCGUCUCU